AUGUCAAUCAAAAGCAAAAGAGUAUGCUUUAGUCCUAAUGUCAAUGACAUACCAACAAUCUUCCUCAAGAAAAGAGAUUUCAAAUUCACAACAGAAUCAAAAUUAUCACCGCCACUGAAAUUCUUAGUGCAGCUAGGAACAAAGGUUGCAAGUUCUAUAAAAAGUGUUUCCAUGAAAAGAACAUCUUCUAGGAAGGUUUCUUCUUCAUCUACUUUGGUAAGGUCACGUUCAAUUUCUGACCUUACAGAUUCUCAUAGAGCUGAAACUGUUGAAGAUUGUAUUGAGUUUUUGCAUUCUUCUUCAUCUAGGGAGAGACCAAGUUUUAGUUGA